AUAAAAGCGAUGACAGGAACGAGUAGUGUUUAUCUCCCUGUUUCAGAGAGCUAGUGGUUGGUGUGAACUAGCACAUAGAUAAACACGAAUUACCUCCUCGAGCAGCUUUUGCGAACGGAUUGUCCAAGUAGCAAAAGACGGCAUUUGCCGUUAUCGAAAUGAAGUGAGAAAGCGCUAUGCUUUCUAAGUAGGGUGGUACCGCGAUGUCAAUCGUCCCUUCC
rnacentral:ncRNA from 1 species